UGUUUACUCUUGUCAUAAAUUUGACUUUGUUUGCUCUUGUCAUAAAUUUUACUUAUAUUUAAUUAAUUUUCACUUCAUUAAGCCUUGCUGGAGUAUAAAAUAAAAUAUGAAAUGCACCUAUGUUUGCAGGUUUUCAGAGAAGAGACAGAGUUCCUUUCCAGCUUCAGCUGUCUUUUAAAACUCGAGAUUUAAAAAAGUCACCAGAGUCAUCACUCAGCAGAAGCGUGUGACCACUAGCAGCUGGGUGUGGGCAGGGAGCCUGAACAUGGCUGUUUUGGGUGUUCACUGUGCCCAGCUAUGUGCCCGCCUCACCAUGGAGGGCAGGAUCCAGGAAGCUCAAAGUCAACUCAAAGCCCAGCAGGACCUCCUCAGAGACAUCAGUGAACAGAAGCCAAGUCCUAAAGAAGAGAGUAUCUAUGGAAAUUGGAUCAGUACCAUGAGUAUGAUCUGUGAAGACCUGAACCCUGAUACAAAGGCUAACAGAAG